rnacentral:rRNA from 1 species
ACGGCUCAGUAACACGUCGGUAACCUACCCUCGGGAGGGGGAUAACCCCGGGAAACUGGGGCUAAUUCCCCAUAGGCCUGAGGUACUGGAAGGUCCUCAGGCCGAAAGGGACUUAUGUCCGCCCGAGGAUGGGCCGGCGGCCGAUUAGGUAGUUGGUGGGGUAAUGGCCCACCAAGCCGAAGAUCGGCACGGGCUGUGAGAGCAGGAGCCCGGAGAUGGACACUGAGACACGGGUCCAGGCCCUACGGGGCGCAGCAGGCGCGAAACCUCCGCAAUGCGGGAAACCGCGACGGGGGGACCCCGAGUGCCGUGGCAACGCCACGGCUUUUCCGGAGUGUAAAAAGCUCCGGGAAUAAGGGCUGGGCAAGGCCGGUGGCAGCCGCCGCGGUAAUACCGGCGGCCCGAGUGGUGGCCGCUAUUAUUGGGCCUAAAGCGUCCGUAGCCGGGCCCGUAAGUCCCUGGCGAAAUCCCACGGCUCAACCGUGGGGCUUGCUGGGGAUACUGCGGGUCUUGGGACCGGGAGAGGCGGGGGGUCCCCCUGGGGUAGGGGUGAAAUCCUAUAAUCCCAGGGGGACCGCCAGUGGCGAAGGCGCCCCGCUGGAACGGGUCCGACGGUGAGGGACGAAGGCCAGGGGAGCAAACCGGAUUAGAUACCCGGGUAGUCCUGGCUGUAAAGGAUGCGGGCUAGGUGUCGGGUGAGCCUCGAGCUCGCCCGGUGCCGUAGGGAAGCCGUUAAGCCUGCCGCCUGGGGAGUACGGCCGCAAGGCUGAAACUUAAAGGAAUUGGCG